UAGAACCAACUAGAACUCCGGUCUCCCCAUUCUCUUAGUAUGUCCCUCUGGGCUGAAUCUUCUAGGCUAUCUGGGCCUGCCAGGCUGUCUUACUGGGCAGUAUCUAGGAUGGCUGGACAGAGGUAGGAUUCCUCUGGAAAGCUCUCAUGAAGAAGGCUUGAAAGAGCACUGGACUUAACCUCGGAUGGCCCUGGGCCCGAAUCCUGGCCACCCGAUAGCUGUGAUGCCAUGGCGAAGGCCCCAGACCUCUUUGAGCCUCCGUUCCACGUCCAUAAAUUGGGAAAAGAGUCCCUGAAUUGCUGGGCAGUUUUGAGGACUCAGUGGAGCAACACUGAGGGGCGCCGAAGCCGCAGCGGCACAGAGGCAGGUGUGUGGGCGUUCGGCCGGUGCCGGUUGAAUUUUGAGCAGCCCACCCUGCCAGAGGAGAGGACAGCCGCAGUUCAACUCUCCACGGCUUAGAACAGUGUCUAUAAUAACUACGGAUACAUUUGCGGAAGGAAGAAUCCACGACAAAGGCCCCCUUCCCGGACCCUCAAUCCUGCUCUUCCCGAAGGCCCAUUCUGGCUACUGAUUCUGGGCCACGUCCACGAAACAAAAGAAACGCACAAGCAUUUACCUGCUGCUGGGCAAACUUCCUGUUCAGCGGUGACGUGACGCCUUCUCCUCUGCAUGUCCUCUGACGAGCCAGGGCGUGUUCUCACCACAUUUUACUUUCUGGGAUCCAGGCCUCAGUAUUUUCUGACCUGGCUCAUGCCUUUGGAACUGUUCUUAGGAAAGGCAUUCCACCCUCUCCAGGCUAUUUUAUGAGUAUCCAGCAGAACAACGCAACUAUGAGUGUGAUUCUCUGCUUUCCUGGAAGGCCUGAAACGAACGUGUCUACACAAAAUGUUACUAUUGUCUAAAUGGAUGCCUGGCUGUCUAGCCCGGGGGGGUUAGAGUAUAGCAGUGGGUGCAAGGUCCUGGGUUUGGUCCCUCUUAUGCAGAUUAUGCUCUUCCCCUCCUGUCCCCCCUUCCUGAGCCAGCUAACCUUCUGGGAACAAGGUUGCCCGUCUGUGCUGAGGAAUUCUGGGUGUUCAGCAGGUCUUCUGGUGGAAGAGGGGCCCAGCCACCCACCAACCUCCCUCCAGAGAAGUCUUGCUUUUAGCUAUUCGCGCAUCUUUUUUCCUUAGCUGGAAAAAAGGAGCGCGUCUUGUAGAAUGGCCGACGUGUGGUUUUGCCAACUGUGAUGAACUGGUUGUGGCUCUGCACUGUGUCAAGAUAAUAAAGCCACAGCCAACUUCAGUGGGAAGACUGAGUGGCAGAGGCCGAUCAGUGAUGUUGGUCAUGGUUGAUGCAGGUGCCAUGUUUCCCAAAGUGGCGCCACUGGCACUCUGCUGAGGACAGUCCUCACCGUGUUUAACUGUGCCGUGCCUUUCAGGAUGCUCGGUGUGCUUAGUCAACAUUCACUAAAUGGCAAACACUCCACACAUUUCCAAACAUCCCCUGGGGGGUGACGCCAUCCCUGGUUGAGGACCACGGUUAGGGAGGUAGAGAUGCCUUGAGCUGCGGGUGACAAAGACGAUACUUAAAGUAGCUUAGCUGAAAUGGAAAUCUAUUUGUUGAUGUGACCGAGAAACCAUGGGAGAAGCUUGGGCUACCCAUCUCCAUCCCACAAAGAUCUCCCCUUCAAGGGAAUCUGUAGAAGGGCAGGUUUUUCUAUAUUUGCCUCCCCCAGCCCCUUUCUAUUUGGGGGGAAAUAAAGAAACAGAUGAGCAGCAAGGCCCUUCCAACUAUGGAAGCCAGAUGUGGGAGAACGAGCUGCUUUUCUCACUUGUGACAUCUAGAAUAUUAGCAGGGGCUUAGGUCAGUCAGUUACAGGUGCCCGCCGGGGGCAUAGAAUCUAGAGAGGCCAUACAGAGGCUCGGGGUCCAUUGGGGAUAAUCGGUGGCAACGGUGUUGAAGUUGAGGGUUGGGGGGUUGCUAGGUGUCCGGGGGGGGGCACAGCAGGGCCCCAGAGGGUCAGUGGCAGUGGUGGCUCAGACAGCAUCCCAGGCUCACUGUUCCACUAAUGGGCUUGAACAAGCCUUUGCCAUCCUUGGUUCCUGCCUCUGCCCUUCCUGUUGAUUCUGUGGGGAACUCAGUACCCUUCCAAUAAACGAUCUUCCCUGUGAAGUUGACCAGAGUUGGUUUCCAUUGCUUGCAACCCAAAUUCUCACUCAUACAGUUGGAGUGGGGACUCUAGGUGGGAUGGAAAACCAGAAAGCAAGUGGGGUGCUUUGAAGUCUCAGGGCACUUGGAAAAGGCAGUUUGGAACCAAAAGCCAACAGGACCCAAGGGCCACCAAGGCAAUUUUCCUUGAUGGUGACCAUGCCAGUGAUCUUGUUGAAGACUGGGAAUUCCUUCCCACAGGGGCAGUGCUCACCACCUGUGAGGCCCCUUUCUUUGCCACAUACGGUUAAAGGGACAGGUGACUCCAUGCUUGUCACUGCCAGUUCUAGAAAACAGCGCUUGUGUGAACUUAAAAAAGCAACCACACCAAUGCCUGGGUCUUUCCCUCCUCCCUGAUCCACGAAGACACAGCAAAAGAAGGGCCGGUGUUUUUGCCAUGGGAUCUGUGGGUAGGGAGAGUCGCCUUGGCAGCAGAGGUGAUUAUUAUACCCUCCCCCCCUUCCUCGAGCAGGAAAUGGCCAAAGGUAAAGACUCGGAUGGGGCAGGAAUCUAGCAGAAGCUGCAGGAGGAACAAGAGGGGCGUCCUCUGUUGGAGCCGCCAAGGGCAGGAACCUGGCAGUGAAGCUGGUUGCUCUCCUGGGAGGCCUUCUGCUUCACGCUUGGACUUGGGAGUGGCUCUUGGAGUUUCCUAGUUAAUUGUUCACCCCUCCUCCACCCCUACCCCUGCCCCCACCUCCCAAGUGCCUGGAGGGUCAAAGCCCUGUGGCAGAGCCUGGGGGGGUGGAGAUCAUGAACUCUGGACUCUGGAGCCACAUUUCCUGGGUCCAAAUUCCAGCUCUGUCCCAAGCUGUGUAUAUUUGGGUAAGUUAUUAAAUGACUGUGCCUCAGUUUCCUCCCUUAGAAUGAUAAAAAUAGUGAGAGCUACCUCAUAAGAUUACUCCGAAGAUUAAAUGAGUGAGGGCGCCUGGGUGGCUCGGGUGGUUGGGCGUCUGAAUCUUGGUUUCAGCUCAGGUCAUGAUCUCAGGGUCGUGAGACUGAGCCCUG